GCCCGCACCGGUUUUUUUUGCUAUUUUUUUUUCUACGGCGGGGAGCCGGAGAUCAUGGCCUACAAACUGCAUUUGCAGUUCCGCGAGACCGCGAUCGCAUCUCUCCCCGUCCCUCUCGUGCUCUGCUCCACACCGCCGCCGCCUCCAGGCCCUUCGCAGCACCGCCUCCGCCCCUCCCGGCACUCCGGCGGUAGUGUUGCGGCGGCCGCUUCCUUAUCCCCUCCCUGUCACCCAGAUCCGAGGGUGGGCCUAAUGGACGGUGCCACAAGCUGCGGGAGCUGGUCGGUCGGUGACGGUCGUCGGCGCCAUCCCCCUCCACGUGACGACGGUUGCGGUCUCCUUCCCCUUACGGCGGACAACAGGGCCACCUCCCGGCCGGAUCCUCGUCGUGGGCGUGAGGGCGAACCGGAUUUGCUGACCUGACAACCAAAUCGAGGCGGGGGCUCCGUCCUCCAGGCGAGCGGCGGUACGGCUGUGCGCUCCCCUUCUAGAUCCGUGAGGGCAGUUUCUUCGCCGGUGGAGUGGCGAUGAUCCGGCGCGGCACCAAUCCCCUCCGUGCGACGACACGGCCGCGGCUGCUUCCUCCUCAUGACUCGCGGGCGGCGAGUGCUCAGUGGCUCCGGAGAUGCCCUCCAUCACGAAGGGAGCUCCAGGCAUACGUGCUACUGCUAGAUGCCUUCUCUCCGCUGGUAUUCAUGCCAUUAACAGCACGCUCACCUACUCGUUCUUCACUCAUGGUCAUCAGCUUCUGCGUGUACCCAGGUUCUUGUGCCUCAUCCGUGCAGACGCAAGCAUAUGUGGCAACAACGACACUCUCGGCAAUCAGAUUUUGGAUUUGUGUCACACGAAUGUUGCUGGGGCAUGCGCGGCCGUAUCUGGUCAAUUAUGCUGGAAGGCAUCCAUGAUGGCAUGCUGCUGAGACUGCAUGAGAUCUAACACCACUGGAGAGGUGGAUCUUAUUUCCUCCGAUAAUCCUUCUGCAUGGUUCAUGUUUGCAAUACAAAUUAUCCCAGAUAUAACAUUGAAAAAUCAAGGCAAAAGGGGAUACAACCCAGCAGUACAUCUAGAAUAAAGGCUGAUGUUCCGGUCAGUUACUUUGCUUAGGACACCUUAGACGUGAGACGACACCUGAACAGUAUGCUCAUAAUGGUUGUGUGGUCAUUAUGACAAAUCGAUAGCUAGCAAGUUCACAUUAGAGCAGAUUUGUUUGACCAAACAAGCUUGACAUUUGUUUGCAUUAUGGAAGACAUCCAACAAGCUCAGAUGAUUGUGAAGGUUGAAAUAUCUCAAGGGAACUGUAUAAAAUUAUUUCUGGCGUGAUGUUCAUGUCUUUCCGACUGUAAUGACUGUAAUGUGAUCCUUCAUAACCCUUCUUAUGGCAUGAUGAUGGCUUCCAAAGAAAUCGUAUCUCAUGCCUCAUGCAGGCGAAGACCAUCA